AGAGUUUGAUCCUGGCUCAGGACGAACGCUGGCGGCGUGCCUAACACAUAGCAAGUCAGAGCGAGGGAUCACAUCAUGAAGUUUUCGGAUGGAUUGGUGUGAUUCUAGCGGCGGACGGGUGAGUAACGCGUGAGCAACCUGCCUAUCACAGGGGAAUAACGCAUCGAAAGGUGUGCUAAUACCGCAUGAGACCACAGGAUCGCAUGGUCAAGGGGUCAAAGAUUUAUCGGUGAUAGAUGGGCUCGCGUCUGAUUAGCUAGUUGGUGAGGUAACGGCCCACCAAGGCGACGAUCAGUAGCCGACCUGAGAGGGUGAUCGGCCACAUUGGAACUGAGAAACGGUCCAAACUCCUACGGGAGGCAGCAGUGGGGAAUAUUGGGCAAUGGGCGCAAGCCUGACCCAGCAACGCCGCGUGAAGGAAGAAGGUCUUCGGGUCGUAAACUUCUGUUCUGAGGGAAGAAGAAAGUGACGGUACCUGCAGAAGAAGCCCCGGCUAAAUACGUGCCAGCAGCCGCGGUAAUACGUAUGGGGCGAGCGUUAUCCGGAUUCAUUGGGCGUAAAGCGCGCGUAGGCGGCUCGCCAAGCGGGACCUCCAAUCCCGGGGCUCAACCCCGGGCCGGGUCCCGAACUGGCGGGCUCGAGUUCGGUAGGGGGAGGCGGAAUUCCCAGUGUAGCGGUGAAAUGCGUAGAGAUUGGGAGGAACACCAGUGGCGAAGGCGACUUACUGGACUGUAACUGACGCUGAGGCGCGAAAGUGUGGGGAGCAAACAGGAUUAGAUACCCUGGUAGUCCACACUGUAAACGAUGAAUGCUAGGUGUAGGGGGUAUCGACCCCUUCUGUGCCGGAGCUAACACAAUAAGCAUUCCGCCUGGGGAGUACGGCCGCAAGGUUGAAACUCAAAGGAAUUGACGGGGGCCCGCACAAGCAGCGGAGCAUGUGGUUUAAUUCGACGCAACGCGAAGAACCUUACCAGGUCUUGACAUCCAGGUAAAGCGGUAGAGAUACCGUGUGUGCUUGCACAAUCUGAGACAGGUGGUGCAUGGUUGUCGUCAGCUCGUGUCGUGAGAUGUUGGGUUAAGUCCCGCAACGAGCGCAACCCUUACUAAUAGUUACUAACACGUGAAGGUGAGGACUCUAUUGGGACUGCCGGGGACAACUCGGAGGAAGGUGGGGACGACGUCAAAUCAUCAUACCCCUUAUGACCUGGGCUACACACGUGCUACAAUGGUCGUUACAGAGAGAAGCGAAAUCGCAAGGUAGAGCGGAUCUCAAAAAAGCGAUCCCAGUUCGGAUUGUGGGCUGCAACCCGCCCACAUGAAGUCGGAGUUGCUAGUAAUCGCGGAUCAGCAUGCCGCGGUGAAUACGUUCCCGGGCCUUGCACUCACCGCCCGUCA
rnacentral:rRNA from 1 species